UAGGGAAUCUUCGGCAAUGGGGGGAACCCUGACCGAGCAACGCCGCGUGAGUGAAGAAGGUUUUCGGAUCGUAAAGCUCUGUUGUUAAGGAAGAACGAGUGUGAGAAUGGAAAGUUCAUGCUGUGACGGUACUUAACCAGAAAGGGACGGCUAACUACGUGCCAGCAGCCGCGGUAAUACGUAGGUCCCGAGCGUUGUCCGGAUUUAUUGGGCGUAAAGCGAGCGCAGGCGGUUAGAAAAGUCUGAAGUGAAAGGCAGUGGCUCAACCAUUGUAGGCUUUGGAAGCUGUUUAACUUGAGUGCAGAAGGAGGGAGUGGAAUUCCGUGUGUAGCGGUGAAAUGCGUAGAUAUAUGGAGGAACACCGGUGGCGAAAGCGGCUCUCUGGUCUGUAACUGACGCUGAGGCUCGAAAGCGUGGGGAGCGAACAGG
rnacentral:rRNA from 1 species